rnacentral:rRNA from 1 species
CCAAGGAGUGCAACAUGCGUGCGAGUCUUGGGGUAGCAAACCCGUUGGCGCAAUGAAGGUGAAGGCAGAUUCUGGUCUGCUCAGGCAGGAGCCUCCCCCCCGGGGGUCCCACUGUCGACCGAUCCCAGGCUACGCUGUGGUGGGAUUUGAGUAAGAGCGUGCCUGUUGCGACCCGAAAGAUGGUGAACUAUGCCUGAAUAGGGUGAAGCCAGAGGAAACUCUGGUGGAAGCUCGUAGCGAUUCUGACGUGCAAAUCGAUCGUCAAAUCUGGGUAUAGGGGCGAAAGACUAAUCGAACCAUCUAGUAGCUGGUUCCCUCCGAAGUUUCCCUUAGGAUAGCUGGAGCCCGGUGCAGUUUUAUCAGGUAAAGCGAAUGAUUAGAGGUCUUGGGGUUGAAACAACCUCAACCUAUUCUCAAACUUUAAAUGGGUAAGAAGCUCGGCUUGCUCAACUGAAGUCGGGCACUGAAUGCUGGGGCUCUUAGUGGGCCGUUUUUGGUAAGCAGAACUGGCGAUGUGGGAUGAACCAAAUGCCGGGUUAAGGUGCCCGAAUCGACGCUCAUCAGAUACCAUGAAAGGU